GCCGGGUUGGGGUAAGUGGCAAGCCUUCGGCCCUGUGACGGUCGAGACGCGAGUUCGACUCUCGCACCCGGCC
rnacentral:tRNA from 1 species